rfam:Trichobilharzia regenti genome assembly, scaffold: TRE_scaffold0000459
GCGCUGAUGAAGAGUCCCGAAAUAGGACGAAACAGCUGUCCAGUAU